AGAGAGAAGUGGCUGAUACAGGAAAAACCGUACCAAUGACACGUUUACAGAUGAGUUGGAGAGCAACUUACUCAGAGGAACACUCAGGUAGAUGAUGCUGAGCUUCCAUGAACGUGUUUCUUCCAUGAAGAUAUGACAUUGAUCCACCCGGUUCUUAAAAGAUGGAUGCUGGGUAUCUAGAAGAGCCUGCCCAUCCCGGACAACAAGGAGAUAUUCUGGCUCCAGAGGACCUCUGAACUUUGCCAAGCUGCUGCUGUAAUUUGUUUGGAUUUAAGCGCUGGUCUGCUCACAGUUUCUCCGUGCCCACCUGCCUGCCUCCCUGCCCAGCGCUCAGGAUUACCAUCUCCCCUCACCCGGACCACCUCCCCUCUAAGCUUCGCCUCCGCCUGCACAUGAGUAAGACUGUUUACUGUCACUACGAGUGCUUUUGAACUAGCUUGCCGCGUCCUGCAUCUAACACCUGUUCUCCCCACUUUUAGUGACUACACCCUUACCUCUGCUUCCGUCCCCAGGAGUUCCUGCACUGGCAGAUUACCCAGUGUCGGGUUCUCCAUCCCAUCCACGACAGCCCCACGGCUUCCCCACGGACACUUCUAGUGCUCUUUACAGCUUUGUUUCAUAGAAAUGCCAAGUCGGCCAUGUGUGUUUAACAGUAAAAAGGUUAUGAAUCUUUGAGUUAAACCCGUGUGUCUCUAAGCGAAGUAUUAUGAAACAUAGUGUGCCUCAAAGCUAAUGUUAUGGGUGCAGUUUCCCCCUCCAGGGGCAAGGGUACCUAGACCUGGGGUUUACAGUAUGCUUGGGGAGUGUGAUUGUAUA